rnacentral:piRNA from 1 species
GUUGACGAGGGUCCUUACUGA